rnacentral:lncRNA from 7 species
CAGGCUCUGGGGUGAUGCCAUGAAGCCCAUCUCUGUGACACAAGAAGAGGUCUUUGAAACCAAGUGGAAGAUCCAGAAAGACUCUCAGUUGAGCUCUCCAUCUGGCCAUAGGCACACAGAAGUGAGCCAUACAUCCAGCCAACAUAGCCUGUCCCCUAGCCAAAGCAUAGGCUUCCUCAAUGUCCUGCGGAAAGCCUUGCAUCUCCCAGUGCUGUGCGGAAGGCAGUGGAGUGAUGCUCUGAUUUGUACCUCACCACAGGAAAGAGCAGGAUGAAGAUGCAGAAACUGCUGAAGGUGUGCUGCUGGGUGCUGCACUGGGCAUCUAAAAUCACUUGUAGCUGAUGUUCUGUUCCUCUUGGUAUGCUGUGUGGAAGAGGACGCAUAGGUGAAGUUUCUUGCAAGAACCUCUGGAACUGCUUAGUGGAUACACUUUAUUUGUGCUCCAGUGUUGUUGACCAGAAAAGAGUGGAAAAAUGUCACAAAGCUUUUGUAGUUCUGUUUUUGUCCUAAUGGUACCGAUACCACCAGUUACUGCUCUUGUUCUCUCUGUACUUCCAGUUCCUCUUCUCUGAGGUGAACAGCCCCUAUCCUGUACUGCUCUGCCUGUCUCUGUCUUGAACUGUUUGCUUGAGGGUGAUGUCCCAGUAUGGAGAGGAGCUAUUUCAUGAAUCAGCAGCUCUGUCCAAGACUAGAGCUUUGCAAAGGGCACAGACUUGAAAAUAGUGGCAUAAAUGCAAGUACUUGGUUUUGCAUUGAGUGCGCAGGAGGUC